rnacentral:misc_RNA from 1 species
AACGCACAUUGCGCCCCUUGGUAUUCCGAGGGGCAUGCCUGUUCGAGCGUCAUUAUGACCACUCAAGCCUAGCUUGGUAUUGGGGUUCGCGGUCCCGCGGCUCUUAAAAUCAGUGGCGGCGCCAUCUGGCUCUAAGCGUAGUAAUCUUUCUCGCUACAGAGUCCCGGUGGAUGCUUGCCAGCAACCCCCUAUUUUCUUAGGUUGACCUCGGAUCAGGUAGGGAUACCCGCUGAACUUAA